UUGAAUGACAGACGCAUGGGACCAUGAGGAACCUCAGCUUGCUCCUCUUAUGGGGGUGUUGUGGUUUAUGCAGCUCACAUUUUUUCUCAAUAGAAUCAACGACAACUGAUAUUGAUGAGUGCCUUCACAUGUGUCUUUCCAACGUGACAUGCACCAACA